rnacentral:rRNA from 1 species
UAAGGAAUAUUGCUCAAUGGGAGAAAUCCUGAAGCAGCAACGCCGCGUGGAGGAUGAAGGGUCUAUGACUUGUAAACUCCUGUAAAGAAGGAAAAAAUUCCCAUUUGAUGGGAGAUGAUGGUACUUCUGGAGUAAGCCCCGGCUAACUACGUGCCAGCAGCCGCGGUAAUACGGAGGGUGCAAGCGUUGUUCGGAAUUAUUGGGCGUAAAGCGCGUGUAGGCGGUCUUUUAAGUCUGAUGUGAAAGCCCCGGGCUCAACCUGGGAAGUGCAUUGGAAACUGGGAGACUUGAAUACGGGAGAGNGCAGUGGAAUUCCUAGUGUAGGAGUGAAAUCCGUAGAUAUUAGGAGGAACACCGGUGGCGAAGGCGGCUGCCUGGACCGAUAUUGACGCUGAGACGCGAAAGCGUGGGGAGCAAACA